AUUGAACGCUGGCGGCAUGCUUUACACAUGCAAGUCGAACGGCAGCACGGGCUUCGGUCUUUCGUCGCGUGGCGGACGGGUGCGUAAUGGAUCGGAACGUGACACGUCGUGGUGGAUGGGGCGGCGAACGGCGAAUUGAUACCGAAACCGCACUGCGGGGGAAAGCGAGGGAGCGGAACGCCUGGCGCUCUUGGAGCGGCCGAUGUCGGAUUAGCUAGUUGGUGGGGUAAGGGCUUACCUAGGCGACGAUCCGUAGCUGGUCUGAGAGGACGACCAGCCACACUGGGACUGAGACACGGCCCAGACUCCUACAGGAGGCAGCAGUGGGGAAUAUUGGACAAUGGGCGCAAGCCUGAUCCAGCCAUGCCGCGUGUAGGAAGAAGGCCUUCGGGUUGUAAAGUGCUUUUGGUCGGGAAGAAGUCCGUUGGGUUAAUACCCCGGCUGGAUGACGGUACCGGAAGAAGAAGCACCGGCUAACUACGUG
rnacentral:rRNA from 1 species